CCUACGGGGGGCAGCAGUGGGGAAUAUUGGGCAAUGGGCGCAAGCCUGACCCAGCAACGCCGCGUGAAGGAAGACGGCUUUCGGGUUGUAAACUUCUUUUAAGAGGGAAGAGAAGAAGACGGUUCCCCUUGAAUAAGCCACGGCUAACUACGUGGCAGCAGCCGCGGUAAUACGUAGGUGGCAAGCGUUUUCCGGGUUUACUGGGUGUAAAGGGCGUGCAGGCGGGAAGAGAAGGCAGAUGUGAAAUCCCGCGGCUCAACCGCGGAACUGCAUUUGAAACUGUGUGUCGUGAGUACCGGAGAGGUCAGCGGAAUGCCAUGUGUAGCGGUGAAAUGCGUAGAUAUAAGGAAGAACACCAGUGGCGAAGGCGGAUGACUGGACGGCAACUGACGGUGAGGCGCGAAAGCGUGGGGAGCAAACAGGAUUAGAUACCCUAGUAGUC
rnacentral:rRNA from 1 species